UACGUAGGGGGCUAGCGUUGCUCGGAAUUACUGGGCGUAAAGGGCGCGUAGGCGGACAGUUUAGUCAGAGGUGAAAGCCCAGGGCUCAACCUUGGAAUUGCCUUUGAUACUGCCUGUCUUGAGUUCGGGAGAGGUGAGUGGAAUGCCGAGUGUAGAGGUGAAAUUCGUAGAUAUUCGGCGGAACACCAGUGGCGAAGGCGACUCACUGGCCCGAUACUGACGCUGAGGCACGAAAGCGUGUGGAGCAAACAGG
rnacentral:rRNA from 1 species